rnacentral:piRNA from 1 species
UCGGCGGCCUCUCUGGAUGCAAAACUUCCU